rnacentral:rRNA from 1 species
UGGCGGAAAACUGCCUGAUGGAGGGGGAUAACUACUGGAAACGGUAGCUAAUACCGCAUAACGUCGCAAGACCAAAGAGGGGGACCUUCGGGCCUCUUGCCAUCAUAUGUGCCCAUAUGGGAUUAUCUAGUAGGUGGGGUAACGGCUCACCUAGGCGACGAUCCCUAGCUGGUCUGAGAAGAUGACCAGCCACACUGGAACUGAGACACGGUCCAGACUCCUACGGGAGGCAGCAGUGGGGAAUAUUGCACAAUGGGCGCAAGCCUGAUGCAGCCAUGCCGCGUGUAUGAAGAAGGCCUUCGGGUUGUAAAGUACUUUCAGCGGGGAGGAAGGUGUUGAGGUUAAUAACCUCAGCAAUUGACGUUACCCGCAGAAGAAGCACCGGCUAACUCCGUGCCAGCAGCCGCGGUAAUACGGAGGGUGCAAGCGUUAAUCGGAAUUACUGGGCGUAAAGCGCACGCAGGCGGUCUGUCAAGUCGGAUGUGAAAUCCCCGGGCUCAACCUGGGAACUGCAUUCGAAACUGGCAGGCUAGAGUCUUGUAGAGGGGGGUAGAAUUCCAGGUGUAGCGGUGAAAUGCGUAGAGAUCUGGAGGAAUACCGGUGGCGAAGGCGGCCCCCUGGACAAAGACUGACGCUCAUGUGCGAAAGCGUGGGGAGCAAACAGGAUUAUAUACCCUGGUAGUCCACGCCGUAAACGAUGUCGACUUGGAGGUUGUGCCCUUGAGGCGUGUCUUCCGGAGCUAACGCGUUAUGUCGACCGCCUGGGGAGUACUGCCGCAAGGUUAACACUCAUAUGAAUUGACGGGGGCCCGCACAAGCGGUGGAGCAUGUGGUUUAAUUCGAUGCAACGCGAAGAACCUUACCUACUCUUGACAUCCAGAGAACUUUCCAGAGAUGGCUUGGUGCCUUCGGGAACUCUGAGACAGGUGCUGCAUGGCUGUCGUCAGCUCGUGUUGUGAAAUGUUGGGUUAG